CAUAAUAUUAAAAAGAUGAUGUGUCUAUUUUUGAAUAUUCAAUUUGUGUCAAAAAAAGUUUUAUCUUGAAAUUAAUGUGAGUUGCACAUGAGUGAACAGCCUAUUAUGAAAAUUAAAGAACACAACUUUACCAAAAAAAUGACAUAUUUAUUUAGUUAAAAAUUAAUUUAUAGAAAAGUUAUGACUUAAUUGUAUAAAAACAAUUUUUGAUUAUGAAUAUUUAUUGUUUCAUUCAAGUACAUUGAAAAUUAAUAUAUUUCAUCAAGGGCUGUUAACCACACUACAGAGGUAGACCAUAUACUUAAUGAUAUUGAGUGAGUUUCUGUAUAGGUACUAGAAAAUGUAUUUACUGAAUUAGUUUGUAAAUAUAAGAAAAAAAAUUGCUAG